rnacentral:rRNA from 2 species
ACGCCGCGUGAGUGAUGAAGGCUUUCGAGUCGUAAAGCUCUUUGAUCAGGGAUGAUAAUGACAGUACCUGAAAAACAAGCCACGGCUAACUACGUGCCAGCAGCCGCGGUAAUACGUAGGUGGCGAGCGUUGUCCGGAAUUACUGGGCGUAAAGGAUGCGUAGGUGGAUAUUUAAGUGGGAUGUGAAAUCCCCGGGCUCAACCCGGGAACUGCAUUCCAAACUGGAUGUCUAGAGUGCAGGAGAGGAAAGCGGAAUUCCUAGUGUAGCGGUGAAAUGCGUAGAUAUUAGGAGGAACACCAGUGGCGAAGGCGGCUUUCUGGACUGUAACUGACACUGAGGCAUGAAAGCGUGGGUAGCAAACAGGAUUAGAUACCCUGGUAGUCCACGCCGUAAACGAUGGGUACUAGGUGUAGGAGGUAUCGACCCCUUCUGUGCCGUCGUUAACACAAUAAGUACCCCGCCUGGGGAGUACGGUCGCAAGACUAAAACUCAAAGGAAUUGACGGGGGCCCGCACAAGCAGCGGAGCAUGUGGUUUAAUUCGAAGCAACGCGAAGAACCUUACCUAGACUUGACAUCUCCUGCAUUACCCUUAAUCGGGGAAGCCCUUCGGGGCAGGAAGACAGGUGGUGCAUGGUUGUCGUCAGCUCGUGUCGUGAGAUGUUGGGUUAAGUCCCGCAACGAGCGCAACCCUUAUUUUUAGUUGCUACCAUUCAGUUGAGCACUCUAAAGAGACUGCCCGGGUUAACCGGGAGGAAGGUGGGGAUGACGUCAAAUCAUCAUGCCCCUUAUGUCUAGGGCUACACACGUGCUACAAUGGUGAGAACAAAGAGACGCAGGACCGCGAGGUGGACCAAAUCUCACAAAACUCAUCCCAGUUCGAAUUGCAGGCUGAAACUCGCCUGCAUGAAGCCNGAGUUGCUAGUA